UGUCGUCAGCUCGUGUCGUGAGAUGUUGGGUUAAGUCCCGCAACGAGCGCAACCCUCAUCCUUAGUUNCNAUCAGGUAAUGCUGGGNACUUUAAGGAAACUGCCAGUGAUAAACUGGAGGAAGGUGGGGAUGAUGUCAAGUCAUCAUGGCCNUUAUGGAGUGGGCUACACACGUGCUACAAUGGUGNCUACAAUGGGNUGCAAAGUNNNNAGGCUNAACNNAUCCCUUAAAAGNCAUCUCAGUUCGGAUUGUACUCUGCAACUCGAGUNCAUGAAGUUGGAAUCGCUAGUAAUCGUGGAUCAGCANGCCACGGUGAAUACGUUCUCGGGUCUUGUACACACUGCCCGUCACGCCAUGGGAAUUG
rnacentral:rRNA from 1 species